rnacentral:rRNA from 1 species
CCUACGGGUGGCAGCAGUGAGGAAUAUUGGUCAAUGGACGAGAGUCUGAACCAGCCAAGUAGCGUGAAGGAUGACUGCCCUAUGGGUUGUAAACUUCUUUUAUAUGGGAAUAAAAUGUUCCACGUGUGGGAUUUUGUAUGUACCAUAUGAAUAAGGAUCGGCUAACUCCGUGCCAGCAACCGCGGUAAUACGGAGGAUCCGAGCGUUAUCCGGAUUUAUUGGGUUUAAAGGGAGCGUAGGUGGGUUGUUAAGUCAGUUGUGAAAGUUUGCGGCUCAACCGUAAAAUUGCAGUUGAAACUGGCAGUCUUGAGUACAGUAGAGGUGGGCGGAAUUCGUGGUGUAGCGGUGAAAUGCUUAGAUAUCACGAAGAACCCCGAUUGCGAAGGCAGCUUACUGGAUUGCAACUGACACUGAGGCUCGAAAGUGUGGGUAUCAAACAGGAUUAGAUACCCCAGUAGUC